UAUUAUGAGAGUUUGAUCCUGGCUCAGGACGAACGCUGGCGGCGUGCCUAAUACAUGCAAGUCGAACGCUUCUUUUCUACCGAGUGCUUGCACUCAUUUGAAAAGAGGAGUGGCGGACGGGUGAGUAACACGUGGGUAACCUACCCAUCAGAGGGGGAUAACACUUGGAAACAGGUGCUAAUACCGCAUAAUAAUCGACACCGCAUGGUGUUGAUUUGAAAGGCGCUUUCGGGUGUCGCUGAUGGAUGGACCCGCGGUGCAUUAGCUAGUUGGUGNNAAGUCUGACCGAGCAACGCCGCGUGAGUGAAGAAGGUUUUCGGAUCGUAAAACUCUGUUGUUAGAGAAGAACAAGUAGGAGAGUAACUGCUCUUACCUUGACGGUAUCUAACCAGAAAGCCACGGCUAACUACGUGCCAGCAGCCGCGGUAAUACGUAGGUGGCAAGCGUUGUCCGGAUUUAUUGGGCGUAAAGCGAGCGCAGGCGGUUUCUUAAGUCUGAUGUGAAAGCCCCCGGCUCAACCGGGGAGGGUCAUUGGAAACUGGGAGACUUGAGUGCAGAAGAGGAGAGUGGAAUUCCAUGUGUAGCGGUGAAAUGCGUAGAUAUAUGGAGGAACACCAGUGGCGAAGGCGACUCUCUGGUCUGUAACUGACGCUGAGGCUCGAAAGCGUGGGGAGCAAACAGGAUUAGAUACCCUGGUAGUCCACGCCGUAAACGAUGAGUGCUAAGUGUUGGAGGGUUUCCGCCCUUCAGUGCUGCAGCUAACGCAUUAAGCACUCCGCCUGGGGAGUACGACCGCAAGGUUGAAACUCAAAGGAAUUGACGGGGGCCCGCACAAGCGGUGGAGCAUGUGGUUUAAUUCGAAGCAACGCGAAGAACCUUACCAGGUCUUGACAUCCUUUGACCACUCUAGAGAUAGAGCUUUCCCUUCGGGGACAAAGUGACAGGUGGUGCAUGGUUGUCGUCAGCUCGUGUCGUGAGAUGUUGGGUUAAGUCCCGCAACGAGCGCAACCCUUAUUGUUAGUUGCCAUCAUUCAGUUGGGCACUCUAGCGAGACUGCCGGUGACAAACCGGAGGAAGGUGGGGAUGACGUCAAAUCAUCAUGCCCCUUAUGACCUGGGCUACACACGUGCUACAAUGGGAAGUACAACGAGUCGCUAGGCCGCGAGGUCAUGCAAAUCUCUUAAAGCUUCUCUCAGUUCGGAUUGUAGGCUGCAACUCGCCUACAUGAAGCCGGAAUCGCUAGUAAUCGCGGAUCAGCACGCCGCGGUGAAUACGUUCCCGGGCCUUGUACACACCGCCCGUCACACCACGAAAGUUUGUAACACCCGAAGUCGGUGAGGUAACCCUUGUGGAGCCAGCCGCCUAAGGUGGGAUAGAUGAUUGGGGUGAAGUCGUAACAAGGUAGCCGUAUCGGAAGGUGCGGCUGGAUCACCUCCUUU
rnacentral:rRNA from 1 species